rnacentral:rRNA from 1 species
UACAGAGGGUGCGAGCGUUAAUCGGAAUUACUGGGCGUAAAGCGUGCGUAGACGGUUAUUUAAGUCGGGUGUGAAAGCCCCGGGCUCAACCUGGGAAUUGCAUUCGAGACUGAAUAGCUAGGGUACGGUAGAGGGAAGUGGAAUUUCCGGUGUAGCGGUGAAAUGCGUAGAUAUCGGAAGGAACAUCAGUGGCGAAGGCGGGUCUCUGGGCAGUAACUGACGCUGAGGAGCGAAAGCGUGGGGAGCGAACAGG